UCACAAACCUGGAGAUGAAGGCAUUCCGUGAUAGACCCUGAACCCCGUGGACUUUUGAGACUAUCGCAGCACAGACAGCCCUUGUACAGGUUCUGCUCCAACCGACAGCUGGCAAUCCUUCUACACUGUGGCUAACUACGCAUUGUGCAGGGAUAUGGGGACCAAAAGACAAGUCGAUCCUUAUGUCAUCUGGAAGACUGAAUUCAAACCUGAACAACCACUGCUUGAAUGGACAGCUGCUAGCAAGCCAUGUAGGUCCUCUGCCCCUCAGUUACCCUUCAAUGAGAGACUGCAAUGAUGCCUACCUGAGUGGCUUGAGAGUUCCCACUCCUUGCCAUUGAAAAAAGAAAAGAAAAGAAAAAGUCGCUGCCUUAGAAGGAGGUGCUGGAAUUUUGGCAAAUUCUGUUUAAAGAAAUCAAUGAGAAACGGACGUGACCAAGAGCUUUCGGGUGGGUUACCUCCAGCCUUGGGUAAUGUACGCCCCGUGUCACCCGGUCAGAGAUCUCUUGGUGAACAGAUGUGCAUCUAUUUCCCUUCCAUGUUCUAUCAAAACCAAGGAGACAUAACAACAGCAACAACAGCAUAAUAAAAUAAUAAAAGAAAGAAUCCUUCUUGUCUAGUCUUUCCAGGGUGGCCAGGCAAAGUGUGA
rnacentral:lncRNA from 14 species